rnacentral:rRNA from 1 species
AAACUAACAAGGAUUCCCCUAGUAACUGCGAGUGAAGCGGGAAAAGCUCAAAUUUAAAAUCUGGCGGUCUUUGGCCGUCCGAGUUGUAGUCUGGAGAAGUGCUUUCCGCGCUGGACCGUGUAUAAGUCUCUUGGAACAGAGCGUCAUAGAGGGUGAGAAUCCCGUCUUUGACACGGACUACCAGUGCUUUGUGAUGCGCUCUCAAAGAGUCGAGUUGUUUGGGAAUGCAGCUCAAAAUGGGUGGUGAAUUCCAUCUAAAGCUAAAUAUUGGCGAGAGACCGAUAGCGAACAAGUACCGUGAGGGAAAGAUGAAAAGCACUUUGGAAAGAGAGUUAAACAGUACGUGAAAUUGCUGAAAGGGAAACGCUUGAAGUCAGUCGCGUUUGCCGGAACUCAGCCUUCCUUUUGGUUGGUGCACUUUCCGGUAGACGGGCCAGCAUCGAUUUCGACCGUCGGAUAAGGGCUGGGGAAAUGUGGCACCUUUCGGGGUGUGUUAUAGUCCUCAGUCGCAUACGUCGGUUGGGAUCGAGGAUCGCAGCGCGCCGCAAGGCAGGGGUUCGCCCACUUUCGCGCUUAGGAUGCUGGCAUAAUGGCUUUAAACGACC